UCAAAGGGAAAAGCAGUCUUGAAAACCCGUGUGAUCAUCAUUGUGUCCUUUGAAAACAGUCUGGUGUGAGAGCAAAGCUUUUUUUCAGAAUACAGGCACAUAACCUGUCUUCAUGAAAAACAAGUGCCCCUACAUAAUUUAUGGCCCACAUAGCAUAUUGCUAUAUGUGUUUACGAAGGAGUUUACUCCUGUAUAUUAAGCCGAAGCCAGGCAUGGUCACUAAGGUCGUAUGCACAUUCGAACGAAUGUGGGGUACUCGUCUAGCCCCGCCUACACCCGCCUACAAGCACAACAACCAUCAACGAUGUCAGGCAUGUUGCUCCAUUGCCCACGUGGAUGCAGGACGGCAUUUGUUCUUCGCCUCGCUACAUUGUACAGGAGUGAGAGGACCCGUGGUGCAACAUACAUAAGUCUGAAUAGGCCAUAUGACCGGGUUGCGCACACCAUGGGCAUGACGGUGAGAGGAGUGAGGCAGAUGGUCCACCGCGCCAACACAUCUUCCCUUUCCAAACCGGCAACACCAAUUACACCGACCGUCUUUGACGAUCAUAAUACUUUCAUUUCAUAAAAAUAAUACAAUGUAUAACAUACAGUAACUUCAUAAUAUCCCACAGCAUAUUUUGUAUAUUUAUUGCCUCAAAUGUACUUGAUAAAGAAAGCUACAACGCCAUUAUUACCAUUAGGCAUCAAUAAACAAAGAUGCAGUGAUGCAGAGAAGAACAA